rnacentral:tRNA from 1 species
GGCUGCAUAGUGCAAUGACUAGCACACUCCAUUUUGACUAAUUUUAAAAGGAGAGAUGUCGGUUCAAAUCCGACUGCGGUCC